ACGCAAAAAUUACCCAAUAGUACAAUUUUUGAUCAUAUUUCAGCUCAUGAUCCAACAUGCUACAUAAAGACUGAGGGUCGAGACCGAAUGGGGUAAUGCGUCAUAUAUAUAAAAUCCGCUGGGUGACAGUAGCGUUACGUCCUCAAUACAUUUCUGCUAUGUAGGUAGAGAAAGGCGAGAUAUGUUGUAGUCUACCAGUCAUGUCGGUAAACAUGCAUGUUUAUUACGAGCGCUACGUAAUUACGAAGAUAUUGAGCAUACGCAAUAUAUAUAUUAUACAGAAGAAUAUUGUUAAUGUUAAUAUGCCUGGAUUGCUCUGUUCCAAAUUGCAACAAAAGAGGUGGUCACGAAUUUCCAAGGGAUACUCGCUUAAAAAGAAAAUGGAUUUUAGAUAUAAAACGAAGUUCAAACAGUCCAAGUAGGAAGCUAUAGAAUCCAAAAGAACGUUCUUUUGUAUGCCGCAGCCAUUUUCUUCCUUCUGAUUACAAACCAAAGAUAUGUCCAGCCAUGAAGAGAGCUAUUUUAAAAGAUACUGCUGUUCCAUCUGUUUUUUCUUUUAAUAAAGAAGUAAAGAAAAGAACCACAAAAA